UACAGAGGUCUCAAGCGUUGUUCGGAUUCAUUGGGCGUAAAGGGUGCGUAGGCGGCGCGGUAAGUCGGGGUGUGAAAUCUCGGAGCUUAACUCCGAAACUGCAUUCGAUACUGCCGUGCUUGAGGACUGGAGAAGAGACUGGAAUUUACGGUGUAGCGGUGAAAUGCGUAGAUAUCGGAAGGAACACCUGUGGCGAAAGCGGCUCACUGGACCAUUACUGACGCUGAUGCACGAAAGCUAGGGGGAGCAAACAGG
rnacentral:rRNA from 1 species